CCUACGGGCGGCAGCAGUGAGGAAUAUUGGUCAAUGGCCGGAAGGCUGAACCAGCCAAGCCGCGUGAAGGACGAAGGUCCUAAGCGUUGUAAACCUCUUUUGUCCGGGGACAAAAGCAGGCUCGAGAGCAUGACCGCGGGUACUUCAUGAAUAAGCACCGGCUAAAUCCGUGCCAGCAGCCGCGGUAAUACGGAGGGUGCGGGCGGUAUCCGGAUUUAUUUGGUGUAAAGGGGGCGUAGGCGGGUUUUUAAGUUUGCCGUUAAAGUCCGGGGCUCAACCCGGGGAGGGCGGGGGAAACAGGCUGUCUUUAGAGGGCGAGGGGCAUGCGGAAUGCGUGGUGUAGCGGUGAAAUGCUUAGAUAUCGCGAAGAACCCCGAUUGCGAAGGCAGCCUGCCGGAGGGGAACUGACGCUGAGGCACGAAAGCGUGGGUAUCGAACAGGAUUAGAUACCCGAGUAGUC
rnacentral:rRNA from 1 species